rnacentral:rRNA from 1 species
AUUGAACGCUGGCGGCAGGCCUAACACAUGCAAGUCGAACGGAGUGGCGGACGGGUGAGUAAUGUCUGGGAAACUGCCUGAGGGAGGGGGAUAACUACUGGAAACGGGCGCUAAUACCGCAUACUCUCAGAUGAGCCUAGGUCGGAUUAGCUAGUUGGUGGGGUAAAGGCCUACCAAGGCUACGAUCCGUAACUGGUCUGAGAGGAUGAUCGGUCACCAUGGAACUGAGACACGGUCCAGAACUCUACGGUAGGCAGCAGUGGGGAAUAUUGGGCAAUGGGCGAAAGCCGGAUCCAGCCAUGCCGAGUGUGUGAAGAAGGUCUUCGGAUUGUAAAGCACUUUAAGUUGGGAGGCGUUACCAACAGAAUAAGCACCGGCUAACUACGUGCCAGCAGCCGCGGUAAUUC